UAACCCUACGGGGGGCAGCAGUGAGGAAUAUUGGUCAAUGGCCGAAGGGCUGAACCAGCCAAGCCGCGUGAAGGAAUAAGGCCCUACGGGUCGUAAACUUCUUUAGUCAGGGAACAAAGGGAGCCACGCGUGGCGCUGUGAGUGUACCUGAAGAAUAAGCAUCGGCUAACUCCGUGCCAGCAGCCGCGGUAAUACGGAGGAUGCGAGCGUUAUCCGGAAUUACUGGGUGUAAAGGGAGCGUAGACGGUGAAGUAAGUCUGGAGUGAAAGGCGGGGGCCCAACCCCCGGACUGCUCUGGAAACUAU
rnacentral:rRNA from 1 species